rnacentral:tmRNA from 1 species
GGGGCUGAUUCUGGAUUCGACGGGAUUAGUGAAGCCCGAGGUGCACGUCGAGGUGCGGUAGGCCUCGUAAAUAAACCGCAAAAAAAUAGUCGCAAACGACGAACAAUACGCUUUAGCAGCUUAAUAACCUGCUCAUAGCCUUCGCUCCCCAGCUUCCGCUCGUAAGACGGGGAUAAAGCGGAGUCAAACCCAAACGAGAUCGUGUGGACGCCGCCGUUUGAGGAUCGAAGCAUUAAAUUGAAUCAAACUAGCUUAAUUAUCGCGUGUCUGUCCGCAGGGUUAAGCGAAUUUUAAAGACUGACUAAACGUGUAGUACUAACGGUAGAGGAAUUCCGGACGGGGGUUCAACUCCCCCCAGCUCCACCA